rnacentral:rRNA from 1 species
UUGCACAAUGGGCGCAAGCCUGAUGCAGCCAUGCCGCGUGUAUGAAGAAGGCCUUCGGGUUGUAAAGUACUUUCAGCGGGGAGGAAGGGAGUAAAGUUAAUACCUUUGCUCAUUGACGUUACCCGCAGAAGAAGCACCGGCUAACUCCGUGCCAGCAGCCGCGGUAAUACGGAGGGUGCAAGCGUUAAUCGGAAUUACUGGGCGUAAAGCGCAC